rnacentral:misc_RNA from 1 species
AAUAAUCAAUAAUUUUGGCUUUGCCACUAUUAUCUAUUUACUGUGAACUGUAUUAUUAUUUGACGUUUGAAGGAUGUUUCAAUGUUAUAAGGAUAGACAUUGGAAAUGUUAACUGAGUCAUAAUCAAGCUUUUGUUUGGUAUCCUAUUAUUAUUUACCAAAAGAAUUCAGAAUUAAUAUUGUAACAUAGACCUAAAAAAUCUAUAAAA